AGAACAAAUUGGAUACAGCUUUAUAAUAAAUAUGCUUUUGUCACCAUCAGCUAAAAUGCAGUAUGUUGGAGGUGAAGCUGUCAUAGCUCUAAGUAAGGACAGCAGGAUGCAUCAAAAUCAAAUAUGUGAAGGGAAUGGAAUUGCACCAUUGGUUCGCUUACUAAGAGUUAGUACGAUUGCUGAAGGCACACUUCUCAGUGUCAUCAGAGCAGUGGGAUCCAUUUGUAUUGGGAAUUUAAUAGCAAGCCUGGCUCAUUCUAGAGCUGGUAUCCCAGAAGCAUUUACCACAUUAGGAACAAUCCAACGGCUCUGCUAUCAUUUGUACUCGGGAAUAGAAGAGUCUGGAGAAGAAUGGAGGACCAUCCAUAAUUCCUAUCUUUUAAAAGAG
rnacentral:sRNA from 1 species